AUCAGCGCUGCCUGCUAAGAGCCAGCUGGGCAGCGGGUGGCCUCAGAGGGGUGGGUGAGACGGGCAGCGACCAAAGCCGGAGGCCUGCCAGAAUCCACACCCGGAAAAUUGUUACUGCCAUGGAGAACGGACAGGUAGUUGGCCAUGCCAGGAAUGUCACUGCAAAAGGAAAAGAGGAAUGGUCACAGAGGGCAGACAGGAAGUCAGCCAUGCUGAGAAGGUCGCUGACAUAGGAAAAAGGGACAGACAGUCCUUCCUGGCAGAAACAAAGGGUCACCUGUUUUUUACAGAAUGCAAGUUCAUCUGUACUACUGAACCUGACUCAUGGGACCGGAGAACUGAGAAGAAGGCCGUUUUUUGGCAAAAAUUGCACCAAAUGCAUAACAACAAGCCUAUAAUGGGAUGGAGAAGGCUCAUCUUUGACUCAAGUUGUGAAUGCAUGCAGAAACAAUAUCUUAACAAUAUCAAUUAAUAAGGGCCAACGUGUAUCAUAAAGAAAGGCUUAAUUUAUAGAGAUUUUCAUUACUAAAUGUGCUGAGACCUGUAGAGUCUCAAUCCCUUUUAAGUAUUUAUUUCUAACAUUUGCUUGUGUUGGAAAGAACAAAAAAGAACACCCAGCUGUAAGAAAAGGAAUGGCAACCAAAAUUUGCUGGUUGUCUUAAAUCUACAUCUAUUCACACACACUUACACACCCCUCACAAUGAGAGGUAUAAGCAAGGGUACUUGAAGCACAAGAUUGUACACCUUUUUGUAGGUGGAAACCAUCUGUUAAGCUGUAUAUUGCAGGCUCAACCUCUAAACAUAGGCAA